rnacentral:rRNA from 1 species
GACGAACGCUGGUGGCGUGCUUAACACAUGCAAGUCGAACGGGAUUUAGUAAACAGAAGCCUCGGUGGAAGAUUACUAAUGAGAGUGGCGAACGGGUGAGUAACGCGUGAGCAACCUGCCUAUGACAGUGGGAUAGCCUCGGGAAACCGGGAUUAAUACCGCAUAAAAUCGUAGAAACACAUGUUUUAACGGUCAAAGAUUUAUCGGUCAUAGAUGGGCUCGCGUCUGAUUAGCUAGUUGGUGAGAUAACAGCCCACCAAGGCGACGAUCAGUAGCCGGUCUGAGAGGAUGAACCGCCACAAUGGAAAUGAGACACGGUCCAAACUCCUACGGGAGGCGGCAGUGGGGAAUAUUGCACAAUGGGGGAAACCCUGAUGCAGCGACGCCGCGUGAACGAAGAAGGUAUUCGUAUCGUAAAGUUCUGUCCUAUGAGAAGAUAAUGACAGUACCAGAGAAGAAAGCGCCGGCUAAAUACGUG